rnacentral:rRNA from 1 species
GGAGGAAAGUAGGGGAUCGCAAGACCUUGCGCUGAUUGAGCGGCCGAUAUCAGAUUAGCUAGUUGGUGAGGUAAAAGCUCACCAAGGCGACGAUCUGUAGCGGGUCUGAGAGGAUGAUCCGCCACACUGGAACUGAGACACGGUCCAGACUCCUACGGGAGGCAGCAGUGGGGAAUUUUGGACAAUGGGGGCAACCCUGAUCCAGCCAUGCCGCGUGAGUGAAGAAGGCCUUCGGGUUGUAAAGCUCUUUCAGCCGGGAAGAAAAUGCAUAGGUUAAUACCCUGUGCGGAUGACGGUACCGGAAUAAGAAGCACCGGCUAACUACGUGCCAGCAGCCGCGGUAAUACGUAGGGUGCGAGCGUUAAUCGGAAUUACUGGGCGUAAAGCGUGCGCAGGCGGUUUUGUAAGACAGGCGUGAAAUCCCCGGGCUUAACCUGGGAACUGCGUUGAAACUACAAAGCUAG